UGCAGUCGAGCGGACUGAUGUGGAGCUUGCUCCAUGGAUGUCAGCGGCGGACGGGUGAGUAACACGUGGGUAACCUGCCUGGCAGACUGGGAUAACGCUUGGAAACGAGUGCUAAUACCGGAUGAUCUCUUGGACUGCAUGGUUCGAGAGUAAAAGGAGCUUUUGCUUCACUGCCAGAUGGACCCGCGGCGCAUUAGCUAGUUGGUGAGGUAACGGCUCACCAAGGCGACGAUGCGUAGCCACCUGAGAGGGUGACCGGCCACACUGGGACUGANACACGGCCCAGACUCCUACGGGAGGCAGCAGUAGGGAAUCUUCCGCAAUGGGCGCAAGCCUGACGGAGCAACGCCGCGUGAGUGAUGAAGGCCUUC
rnacentral:rRNA from 1 species